UUUAAAUUGAGAGUUUGAUCCUGGCUCAGGAUGAACGCUGGCGGCGUGCUUAACACAUGCAAGUCGAGCGAUGAAGUUUCCUUCGGGAAACGGAUUAGCGGCGGACGGGUGAGUAACACGUGGGUAACCUGCCUCAUAGAGUGGAAUAGCCUUCCGAAAGGAAGAUUAAUACCGCAUAAUGUUGAAAGAUGGCAUCAUCAUUCAACCAAAGGAGCAAUCUGCUAUGAGAUGGACCCGCGGCGCAUUAGCUAGUUGGUGGGGUAACGGCCUACCAAGGCGACGAUGCGUAGCCGACCUGAGAGGGUGAUCGGCCACAUUGGGACUGAGACACGGCCCAGACUCCUACGGGAGGCAGCAGUGGGGAAUAUUGCACAAUGGGGGAAACCCUGAUGCAGCAACGCCGCGUGAGUGAUGAAGGUUUUCGGAUCGUAAAGCUCUGUCUUUGGGGAAGAUAAUGACGGUACCCAAGGAGGAAGCCACGGCUAACUACGUGCCAGCAGCCGCGGUAAUACGUAGGUG
rnacentral:rRNA from 1 species